rnacentral:piRNA from 1 species
UGAAUCCAUGUUUGUUGUUUCCCAGGAGA